rnacentral:rRNA from 1 species
AUUGAACGCUGGCGGCAGGCCUAACACAUGCAAGUCGAGCGGAUGAAGAGAGCUUGCUCUCUGAUUCAGCGGCGGACGGGUGAGUAAUGCCUAGGAAUCUGCCUGGUAGUGGGGGACAACGUUUCGAAAGGAACGCUAAUACCGCAUACGUCCUACGGGAGAAAGCAGGGGACCUUCGGGCCUUGCGCUAUCAGAUGAGCCUAGGUCGGAUUAGCUAGUAGGUGGGGUAAAGGCUCACCUAGGCGACGAUCCGUAACUGGUCUGAGAGGAUGAUGAGUCACACUGGAACUGAGACACGGUCCAGACUCCUACGGGAGGCAGCAGUGGGGAAUAUUGGACAAUGGGCGAAAGCCUGAGCCAGCCAUGCCGCGUGUGUGAAGAAGGUCUUCGGAUUGUAAAGCACUUUAAGUUGGGAGGAAGGGCAGUAAGCUAAUACCUUGCUGUUUUGACGUUACCAACAGAAUAAGCACCGGCUAACUUCGUGCCAGCCGCCGCCGUAAGAC